UACGUAGGGUGCAAGCGUUAAUCGGAAUUACUGGGCGUAAAGCGUGCGCAGGCGGUUUUCGUAAGUCUGUCGUGAAAUCCCCGGGCUCAACCUGGGAAUUGCGAUGGAGACUGCAAGGCUAGAAUCUGGCAGAGGGGGGUAGAAUUCCACGUGUAGCAGUGAAAUGCGUAGAGAUGUGGAGGAACACCGAUGGCGAAGGCAGCCCCCUGGGUCAAGAUUGACGCUCAUGGCACGAAAGGCGUGGGGAGCAAACAGG
rnacentral:rRNA from 1 species